rnacentral:miRNA from 1 species
GUGGCCACGCAGGCAGGCAGCUCCAGAGUGUGGCUGUCCUUGUCACUCUCCCUAAGCAGAUGGAUUUCAGUUCACUCUCCCUAGAAGAAGUUCUGGAGCAGUCCAGGGGCCACCAGCGGGGCAGUCG